AUGGGGAUUGGGCCUACGUAGAGGUAGCCCAUCGUGCGAAAAGCCUCCUAUGGUCCAGACUGGACCGGCCCGAGGGAAAAUGCAAAAAAAUUAAGUGAAAAUUACACAAAAUCAUACUUUAAAUAUUCAUCAUUCUAAAAUCAGGUAGGAAGUUUGAUAUUUCAAAAAUCAGAUGAAAAUUUAUUUUUUAAAUAUUAAUAAUAUUAUCAUAAAAUUAACCCCCGUUCCAAACCCUAACUACAUCCUCUCUAUCUUUUUACACAACCCACGCUCUCUCGCCGUCAAUCUCUCUACCACCCACCCUUUUUAUAUUGGCGACGCCUCUAUCUCUCUUCUACCUUUUUCUCUCUAUCUUCUACCAGUAUCCUACCUAAUUCCUCUCUAUUCCGACCGAUCGAUCAGUGCUUUCAGUGGUGCCGUGCGAAAGGUGGUGCGCAGAGCGGUGUGAAGACGUCGUCGACUUUCCAAUCACCGCAACUACGCUCUUUGCUACCUAUAGACAGUUCACAUAUCUGAGAUUAUUGCUUUUAGAUCGCCAAGCGGCUUCGGGUUUUGUCUCGCUAAAGCAGAAAAAGAGUAAGAUGCUUCAAGAUUAUCCUUGAUUCGUGUUUUGCAAUUAUCUGUGGCGAUUUACUAGUAACAGUGUGGUGGGGUGAUGUUGUUAGCGAUGGUUGUAAGGUGGUGUCGAUUGUAGGUAUUAGUUCGUUGCCACUGCUCAUGAGAGAAAAUUUGGUGGUGGUGCUGGUCGCGGCUACGACAGAUGCAGAUUCAAAAUCCACUACAGUAUGUGGUGUGGUGGUGUCUGCAAGUGGUUUCUUGCGAUUGGCGGUGCUUUGUGGUAGCUGUACAAUGAUUCUAAAUGGUAGCAGUGCUGUUAGCCGUGUUGGUGGUGACUUAAUUUGUGACCAACGUGGUGGUGAUUUUGGCAGUGAUGGUGAUGGUGCUGUUGGAGGCAGCGUUGAAGUGGUGGUCGGAAGUGUUGGUGAUGGUCAUAGAUUAUUUGGUUGAUUGUGACAGUGAAUUGGUUAAUCUGUGACCAAUGAAAAAGAUAAAUUAUGACUAAGAAAUAACGUGUGACCUAAAAAUUAAUAAUUU
rnacentral:lncRNA from 1 species